AAAAGAAACUAACAAGGAUUCCCUUAGUAACUGCGAGUGAAGUGGGAAAAGCUCAAAUUUAGAAUCUGGCGGUCGCUUGGCUGUCCGAGUUGUAAUCUAGAGAAGUGUUGCCCGUGCUGGACCAUGUACAAGUCUCCUGGAAUGGAGCAUCACAGAGGGUGAGAAUCCUGUCUUUGACAUGGACUGCCAGUGCUUUUGUGGUACGCUCUCAAAGAGUCGAGUUGUUUGGGAAUGCAGCUCAAAACGGGUGGUAAAUGCCAUCUAAAGCUAAAUAUUGGCGAGAGACCGAUAGCGAACAAGUACCGUGAGGGAAAGAUGAAAAGAACUUUGGAAAGAGAGUUAAACAGUACGUGAGAUUGCUGAAAGGGAAACGCUUGAAGUCAGUCGCGUUGACUCGGAAUCAGCUCUGCUUUUGCUGGGUGUACUUUCUUGUCAAUGGGUCAGCAUCAAUUUUGACCAUUGGAUAAAGUUGCUGGGAAUGUAGCAUCCUUUUGGAUGUGUUAUAGCCUGGUGAUGCAUACGGUGGUUGGGAUUGAGGAAUUCAGCACGCCACCAGGCCGGGUUUCGACCACGUUCGUGCUUAGGAUGCUGGCAUAAUGGCUUUAAUCGACCC
rnacentral:rRNA from 1 species